rnacentral:lncRNA from 1 species
CUUCUUUCUUGCAACCAUAUUACUACAUUUGACUGCAAAACUUUUCUUGACUGCAUGAGUCGACUUGCUUUUGUGCAAAGGAUAAUGGAUUUCUUCUCAUGUUGUUGGCAGAAGUGUUUGAAGACGCCCUCUGACUCACAGUAUUUUAGAUGGUUGGGAAAAGGGUGCUUUUGCAACCAUACCGAUGUUCCUGAACCAGGGGUUCAAACUCCAGCAUCAGGCCACAAUUUUUGGGACUGUUCAACUGGGGACCAAGCAGAAGCAACCRGAUAACAUCCAGUCUGUGAGCUGCUGGAUGGAUGAAGUCA